rnacentral:rRNA from 1 species
AUUUUGGACAAUGGGGGAAACCCUGAUUCAGCCAUCCCGCGUGUAUGAUGAAGGCCUUCGGGUUGUAAAGUACUUUUGGCAGAGAAGAAAAGGUAUCUCCUAAUACGAGAUACUGCUGACGGUAUCUGCAGAAUAAGCACCGGCUAACUACGUGCCAGCAGCCGCGGUAAUACGUAGGGUGCAAGCGUUAAUCGGAAUUACUGGGUGUAAAGAGUGUGUAGGCGGUUCGGAAAGAAAGAUGUGAAAACCCAGGGGUUAAACUUGGAAAUGCCAUUUUAACUGCCGAGCUAGAGUAUGUCAGAGGGGGGUAGAAAUCCACGUGUAGCAGUGGAAUGCGUAGAUAUGUGGAGGAAUACCGAUGGCGAAGGCAGCCCCCUGGGAUAAUACUGACGCUCAGACACGAAAGCGUGGGGAGCAAACAG